AAAAGCUCGUAGUCAGAGCUUCGCUCCGGAGUGGUCGGGUAGGUGGCCGCCCGGCCGUCGACCCGUAAACUCCGGACUGCUUCCUCGCCCAGAGGAAGCGCCAGCCGGUUUCGGGCGGGGUGCUCUUCACCGAGUGUCCCGCGCGACCGGCCGUUUUACCUUGAAUAAAUGAGAGUGCUCAAAGCAGUCUACUCUUAAAAAUAAAGCCCGAAUGAUACCUGCAUGGAAUAAUGGAAGAUGAUCUCGGUUCCAUUUUGGUUGCGUUAUGGAACCCGAGUUAAUGAUGAAGCGGGACUGCCGGGGGCAUCCGUACUACGGCGCGAGAGGUGAAAUUCUGUGACCGUCGUAGGACGAACAACAGCGAAAGCAUUUGCCAAGAAUGUUUUCCUUGAUCAAGAACGAAAGUUAGAGGAUCGAAGGCGAUCAGAUACCGCCCUAGUUUUAACCGUAAACGAUGCUAACUAGUAAUCCGCCGUCGUUAUACCCAUGACGCGGCGGGACACCCCCGGGAAACCUCAAGUCUUUGAGUUCCGGGGGUAGUAUGGUUGCAAAAUUGAAACUUAAAGGAAUUGACGGAAGGGCACCACCAGGAGUGGAGCCUGCGGCUUAAUUUGACUCAACACGGGGAACCUCACCAGGCCCGGACACUAGAAGGACUGACAGAUUAAGAGCUCUUUCUCGAU
rnacentral:rRNA from 1 species